rnacentral:tRNA from 1 species
GCGGACGUGGUGAAAUUGGCAAACACGCUAGACUUAGGAUCUAGUGCUUCUGGCUUGGGGGUUCAAGUCCCUUCGUCCGCACCA